GGCAAGCAACAACUGGACACACGAAACAUGUUCUGUCUUGUCCAAGGAAGUUCCUCCAAUUCGCGUUGUUUUCGAAUGUUUCCGAGCACCAUCCCAGUGACGUCACAGCGAUGAGCCAUGGAUGGACGACAAACAUGACGACCAGUCCGGACUUGUCCAGUCGUCCAGUCCGAAUUUGCGGUGUUUUUCUUCUUCAAAUCUCCAUGUACACAAUCACUCGGCGGUGUGAGCCCAUUCAACGUCAGGUAAACGUUUGGUGUGCAUCGACAAGCAACGAAUGCAGUACGUCCGUGGUUUUCAUCUCAUUACAACGAAUCUCCUGAACGGUCACACAAAUUCAAGGGUCGACCUCUAUAUACCUUCAUGAUCAAAGGGAGAGGCAGAGUUGUAGUCCACUCGACAUUACACAUUUAAAUUCCUUAAUAAGUAAUUAACUGAAUCACAUUGAAAGUUGGGGAAUGGCUCUAUCUGGAAUUUUAAUCGAAUCUAUUUGAUUAUUUUGUAAUAGACUUUAGAAAUGAUGUGCACAAUAAGUGAUAAAAAUGUAGGAAUACAAUAGUGUAUCGAACUGUUAGUAUAUUUCAGUCAGUUGUUCCAAUCAUUUCGCGAUACCAGGCCAACAUCAAAUCACUGUACAUGUAUUUUCUAACCAAA